AUCUUGGUGGUAGUAGCA
rnacentral:ncRNA from 2 species